rnacentral:rRNA from 1 species
AUUGAACGCUGGCGGCAUGCUUUACACAUGCAAGUCGAACGGCAGCGCGGGGCAACCUGGCGGCGAGUGGCGAACGGGCGAGUAAUAUAUCGGAACGUACCCAGAAGUGGGGGAUAACGUAGCGAAAGUAACGCUAAUACCGCAUACGAUCUACGGAUGAAAGUAGGGGACCGCAAGGCCUUAUGCUUUUGGAGCGGCCGAUAUCUGAUUAGCUAGUUGGUGAGGUAAAGGCUCACCAAGGCGACGAUCAGUAGCUGGUCUGAGAGGACGACCAGCCACACUGGAACUGAGACACGGUCCAGACUCCUACGGGAGGCAGCAGUGGGGAAUUUUGGACAAUGGGCGCAAGCCUGAUCCAGCAAUGCCGCGUGAGUGAAGAAGGCCUUCGGGUUGUAAAGCUCUUUUGUCAGGGAAGAAACGGUAGAGGCUAAUAUCCUUUGCUAAUGACGGUACCUGAAGAAUAAGCACCGGCUAACUACGUG